AGGGGGCGUCCGGAGGGAGGCGGCCGCGACAGAAGAGGGGGCGUCUCAGAGAAAGGGAGGGAGGGAACUACCCUCGCGUGAAGCUACAGCAGCGUCCAGAGCCUCCCCCUCCCACCCAGGCGGGACCUGGGGGCUCCGGCCGGAUCCAUGGGGGCGGCGAGCUGCGAGGAUGAGGAGCUGGAAUUUAAACUGGUGUUCGGGGAGGAAAAGGAGGCCCCCCCGCUGGGCCCUGGGGGCCCUGGGGAAGAGCUGGACUCAGAGGAUGCCCCUCCAUGCUGUCGUUUGGCCCUGGGGGAACCUCUUCCUUAUGGUGCUGCCCCUAUUGGGAUUCCCCGACCCCCACCCCCUCGGCCAGGGAUGCACUCACCACCACCCCGUCCCGCCCCUUCACCUGGCACCUGGGAGAGCCAGCCAGCUCGGUCGGUGAGGCUGGGGGGCCCAGGAGGUAAUGCAGGGGGUGCUGGGGGCGGUCGUGUUCUUGAGUGUCCCAGCAUCCGGAUCACCUCCAUCUCUCCCACGCCUGACCCACCGACCUCGCUAGAGGACACUCCUGAGACUUGGGGGGACGGCUCUCCUAGAGAUUACCCUCCCCCAGAAGGCUUUGGGGGCUACCGAGAGGCUGGAGGUCAGGGCGGAGGCGCCUUCUUCAGCCCGAGCCCUGGCAGCAGCAGCCUGUCUUCGUGGAGUUUCUUCUCUGAUGCCUCAGACGAAGCAGCCCUGUAUGCAGCAUGCGACGAGGUGGAGUCUGAACUUAAUGAAGCAGCUUCCCGCUUUGGCUUGAGCUCUCCGCUGCCCUCUCCCCGGGCUUCUCCUAGGCCAUGGACCCCGGAGGAUCCGUGGAGUCUAUACGGUCCAAACUCCGGAGGCCGAGCGCCAGAGGAAAGCUGGCUACUCCUCAGCGCUCCUGGGCCCAUCCCAGCCUCCCCUCGGCCUGCUUCUCCCUGCGGCAAGCGGCGCUAUUCCAGUUCCGGAACUCCAUCUUCAGCCUCCCCAGCAUUGUCCCGCCGGGGCAGCCUUGGGGAAGAGGGUCCAGAGCCGCCUCCACCACCCCCGUUGCCUCUGGCCCGGGACCCUAGUUCCCCUGGCCCUUUUGACUAUGUAGCUGCUCCACCAACCGAGAGCAUCCCUCAGAAAACCCGGAGGACUUCUAGCGAGCAAGCAGCGGCCCUGCCUCGGUCUGAGGAGCCUGCCUCGUGCAAUGGGAAGCUGUCCUCCGGUACCGAGGAUGUGGCUGCUCAGGGGGCUCUGCGGAAAGAGGUGGCUGGCAUGGACUACCUAGCAGUGCCUUCUCCCCUUGCUUGGUCCAAGGCCCGAAUUGGGGGACACAGCCCCAUCUUCAGGACCUCUGCCCUCCCUCCCCUGGACUGGCCUCUACCCAGCCAGUACGAGCAGCUGGAGCUGAGGAUUGAGGUACAGCCGAGGGCACACCACCGCGCUCACUAUGAGACCGAGGGCAGCCGGGGAGCUGUGAAAGCGGCCCCCGGGGGCCACCCUGUGGUCAAGCUCCUAGGUUACAGCGAGAAGCCAUUGACUCUACAGAUGUUCAUUGGCACUGCAGAUGAGAGGAGCCUGCGACCACAUGCCUUCUACCAGGUGCACCGUAUUACUGGCAAGAUGGUGGCUACAGCCAGUUAUGAAGCUGUAGUCAGUGGGACCAAAGUGCUGGAGAUGACCUUGCUCCCAGAGAACAACAUGGCUGCCAACAUUGACUGUGCUGGAAUCCUGAAGCUUCGGAAUUCAGACAUCGAGCUGCGGAAGGGUGAGACAGACAUCGGGCGCAAGAACACGCGUGUGCGGCUGGUGUUCCGUGUGCACGUGCCUCAGGGCGGCGGGAAGGUCGUCUCUGUGCAGGCAGCUUCGGUGCCCAUCGAGUGCUCCCAGCGCUCAGCCCAGGAGCUGCCCCAGGUGGAGGCCUACAGCCCCAGUGCCUGCUCCGUGAGAGGAGGGGAGGAGCUAGUGCUGACUGGUUCCAACUUCCUGCCAGACUCUAAAGUGGUGUUCAUUGAGAGGGGUCCCGAUGGAAAACUGCAGUGGGAGGAGGAGGCUGCGGUGAACCGGCUUCAGAGCAGUGAGGUGACAUUGACUCUGACCAUCCCUGAAUACAGCAACAAGCGGGUGUCCCGGCCAGUCCAGGUCUACUUUUAUGUCUCCAAUGGGCGGAGGAAGCGCAGUCCUACCCAAAGUUUCAAGUUCUUGCCUGUGAUCUUCAAGGAGGAGCCCCUACCAGACUCGGCUCUCCGGGCCUUCCCUUCCACAUCGGGUCCCCCCUACGGCCCUGACGUGGACUUCUCACCGCCCAGACCCCCUUACCCCUCCUACCCCCACGAAGACCCUGCUUAUGAGACUCCUUAUCUGUCAGAAGGCUUUGGUUAUAGCACACCGGCUCUGUAUCCCCUGACGGGGCCCCCACCAUCUUAUAGAUCUGGCCUGCGGAUGUUCCCUGAGUCUGGGGGUACCACAGGUUGUGCCCGCCUACCUUCAGUCUCCUUCCUUCCCCGCCCCUUUCCUGGUGAUCAAUAUGGAGGACAGAGCUCCUCUUUUGCCCUGGGGCUUCCAUUUCCCCCUCCAGCCCCCUUUAGGCCUCCACUACCUUCCUCCCCACCACUUGAAGACCCCUUCCAUCCCCAGAGUGCCAUCCACCCCUUACCAGCUGAGGGCUACAAUGAGGUGGGGCCAGGCUAUACCCCUGGGGAGGGGGCUUCGGAGCAGGAGAAAUCCAGGGGUGGCUACAGCAGCGGCUUCAGAGACAGUGUACCUAUCCAGGGUGUCACGCUGGAGGAAGGUGGGUGUGGGACUGGGGGCUGCGAGUGUGAGUGAGCAAGGAGUGCAAGAGAUCGGUUUGUGUGUUUGCUGAAGGCUGGGGCUUGGCUGCUCAGGGGCUUGGCAUUCUUAGUGUCCCAGGGCUACUCAGUGGUCUCAGGAGCAAGUUCUUGGUGUGUAUGUGUAUGUGUGUGUGUGUGUGUGGUCACCUGAAUUCAGCAACUUAAUACUAAGGGUACACAGUAUCUGUUCCACCCUUUUUUUCUGUCUCUGCCCUAGUCACAAAAUUUCAGCCCUGUUAGUAUUUCAAGACCAUUCAUUCCAUCUGUUUCCCUGAAUUGUAGAUCCAGGCAGUGAGUUGCAGGGAGGGACAUGGCUUGUGGAGAGCCAGGCUGAGUAGCUCCCCCCUCAUCUUGUCUUUCCCUGGGGACUACAGUCCGCAUUGGUGAAGAAGACCUUCCUGCUUUAUCUCUAUGUGUGACCUGCUACCAUAGAUUGAGUGAGAUCAUUGGCCGAGACCUGAGUGGCUUCCCUGCGCGUCCUGGAGAAGAGCCUCCUGCCUGAAC